GUCUCAGUAGUGUAAGAGAUGGAGCACGGCGCCCGGAAAGCACAAGUACGGGUUCGAAUCCCGUCCGAGACU
rfam:Haemonchus contortus, ISE/inbred ISE, WGS project CAVP01000000 data, contig: Hcontortus_28602